UUUCUUAGCAACCUUUGCUUUACCUGGUUUGCCCUUGCCCUUUCCCUUCUUAAGGGACCUUUCUGCUUUCCUUUUCUUUCUGGUCUCACCAGUGUAGAGAACUGACUUCUCUUUCUUAAUAGUACUCUCUGCCUCCCUCAACAUAUUGAGGAGCUCUGGGAGAGUCACCUCAAGCUUGUUCAUAUUAAAAUUUAUUAUGAACUAUGAAAAGGAAUCUGGUAGGGACUGAAGCACAAUAUCCACACACAAGUUAUCCUCUAGGACCAUUCCUAGACCUAUGAGUUUCUCUAU
rnacentral:lncRNA from 1 species